AAAGCGUGCGCAGGCGGUUAUGUAAGACAGAUGUGAAAUCCCCGGGCUCAACCUGGGAACUGCAUUUGUGACUGCAUGGCUAGAGUACGGUAGAGGGGGAUGGAAUUCCGCGUGUAGCAGUGAAAUGCGUAGAUAUGCGGAGGAACACCGAUGGCGAAGGCAAUCCCCUGGACCUGUACUGACGCUCAUGCACGAAAGCGUGGGGAGCAAACAGGAUUAGAUACCCGGGG
rnacentral:rRNA from 1 species